rnacentral:rRNA from 1 species
CAGCCGUCGAACCUAUUACUUUUGAUGGUUUGACCUCGGAUCAGGUAGGGAUACCCGCUGAACUUAAGCAUAUCAAUAAGCGGAGGA